GGGGUAGUAGCUCAAUUGGUCAGAGCGCCUGCCUGUCACGCAGGAGGUCGCGGGUUCGAGUCCCGUCUAUCCCGCCA
rnacentral:tRNA from 1 species